AUACUCUGGUUUCUCUUCAGAUCAUACAAAUCUUUCCCCUUUUACUAAAGCUUUCUGUGGAGAGGAACAUUUAUGAGUUUGUAACUAAUUUUUUAAGGAAAUUUUCUAUUUUUU
rnacentral:snRNA from 1 species